GACGAACGCUGGCGGCGUGCUUAACACAUGCAAGUCGAGCGGUAAGGCCCCUCCGGGGGCACACGAGCGGCGAACGGGUGAGUAACACGUGAGCAACCUGCCCCUGACUCCGGGAUAAGCGGCGGAAACGCCGUCUAAUACCGGAUACGACCCUCCGGCUCAUGCCGUGGGGGUGGAAAGUUUUUUCGGUUGGGGAUGGGCUCGCGGCCUAUCAGCUUGUUGGUGGGGUAAAGGCCUACCAAGGCGAUUACGGGUAGCCGGCCUGAGAGGGCGACCGGCCACACUGGGACUGAGACACGGCCCAGACUCCUGCGGGAGGCAGCAGUGGGGAAUCUUGCGCAAUGGGCGAAAGCCUGACGCAGCGACGCCGCGUGGGGGAUGACGGCCUUCGGGUUGUAAACUCCUUUUACCACUCACUCAGGCUCCCAGUUCUCUGGGGGUUGACGGUAGGUGGGGAAUAAGGACCGGCUAACUACGUGCCAGCAGCCGCGGUAAUAC
rnacentral:rRNA from 1 species